CACAAUGGGGCGUCCAGGCGGGACCUUGCGAGAGACAGUCCAUGUCUCCGGAUCCUUGUGGAUUUUAGGUAAUAAAUAAAAUAUUCUAUUCCUGGGUGUAUCUGAACCUAGUAAGAAGUCUCGCUGUUUGCAAUUGAUGUAAUUCUUGUAAUAUGAAUCCUAUACAAUAACAUGAAUUUCUUUUUGUGUUUGCAGUUGCAAAGAUGCAGGUAUGGGCAUAUAAUGCUUUGUAUUGGAGAGCUGCCGGUUGGCUUCCAAAAGGUAUUGCUGUUUGUCCAUAAUGACUAUUUUUGAACCUUUAUCAGCAGGUUUAAUGAUAAUCUCUGUUUUUAGAGAGCUCCUUAAGGGCCGCCCUCUGUGCCACGGAGAGAUUAUCUGUACGGGUUGUGGAAUAGGUAUGUGUUCUUGCAGUUAAUGUAUCUUUCCGUAUUAGCUGUCUAAUAUAUGGAUUCAUUUGUGAAUUUUCCAGUUCCCAAUGUGAUGGGAGAAUAAACGGUGAGUGACGGUAGGCAUGGACGUCCCUGUAGAGGUCCUGCUGGUCAUCCCGGUUGGGGAGAGGAAUAAAUGUUAGGCCUCUUUCCAACACUUCCACCUGUGCCUCUGAAAGCUGAAAGGGUCCUGAUCUUUAUUAUUGAUGCCCAGAGAAAGAAUUACUUUCUGUGACAGACCGGACAGUUUCUCAGCACCCCAUUUAUGUGAUAAAAAGGGGCCCCCAGGUUCACCUCCCCCUCCCCUGUUUCCCGGCCCUCCCGGUCCCCAUCUGGAGCAACAGGGUUCUCAGUUGAUCUCCAGGUGGCCCACACACAGUUGAAUUAUCAGCAAUGGUAAAUAUUUGUGUUCCUUCCACAGGGUCUUUCAUGGCAGUCCUCUGUACUGUAUGUGUCACCACAGCAUGUUCCGGGGAGGUAGGCCCAGCCAUGGUACCAUGUAGGCCUGCAACUACCUGGGCAUAAGUGGGAGCAUUAAAGGGGGGGGGGCACAGCUUCAGUAGUCUGAGAAGACCUCAUCUGAGUCUGAGUAGCUGGGAUAAAUGAGGAGGAAUCAUCCUCAAAAUAUGUCACCUUGACCUGAGGUGCAAGCAAUUUCAUCACUUGUUCAGCAAUUCUCUUAUUAAACCUUAUUAAAGGCCUCUCUCCAACACUUCCACCUGUGCCUCGGAAAGCUGAAAGGUAAGUGAGAGGUUAAGCACAUUGCUGAGUUCAGAGAGUUGGGGAGAUCGUGGCCGCUUCUCCCCCCCUAGAAGUUUAACUGCUGGCACCAGUGCUGAAAUAUCCUAUUCGCCGUGGUUGGGGUCCAAUGAAUGUUAUCACCUGUAGUGAAAAAGGAACUGUUGUGCAGUACGUGGCAAUAUAUUUAUUAAUUACAGUCAAGUUAGACUUCUGCAGUUGGGAGAAAACAUGAUCACGGGUACAAACAAUGUUGCAUUUGGAAAGACCCUCUGUGCUGUGUUAAGUAAUUGCUGUAAUUGCUUAAUUGCUGUUUUUCUAGGGUCCUGAUCUUUAUUGUUGAUACCCAAAGAAAGAAUCACGUUUUGUGUGGACUGAGAGACUGGGCAGUUUCUAAGCACGCCAUUAAUGUGAUAGAAUGUAGCGCCUGGAUAACUAUCAAUCUGGAUUUGUUCAUUCUUAAAUGAGGGGAUUCUUUUCAAAUUCGAAUCACCAAUGAAAACUAUUGGCUUUUCUGCUAUAAAUCACCAGUCAUACAGUUUACGUUCUGAUCGUGGGUGGCCCCUGGGGUAGAAAAUGGGCUCCCUCUCCAAGGCCGUGUCUCUUAGGGUUUGAGGGGAGGACUCAGAUUGGGGUCGAUUUAUGGGAUUUUGCCCUUUAUUUGCCCCAUACAUCAUGUCCUAGGGUUAGGGUAGGGGAAAAUGAUUUGAGGCACCGAACAACAGUGUCUCAUGUACGGGCCCAUGUGUAUAACUUGAAUCCCACUCUUAUUUUCUAGAUAGCUUGCCACCACUGUCUAUAUAUUUGUAUGUGCACCUGCUGGUCUUGAACCAGGGAUCUUCAGAUUUAGGGGCCAUUUUGCUGACCCCGUGCCCACUGCGGAUGCUCAUCUACAAGCGGUGAUUGCGAGCCACUUAUUUCACUGGCAGGGGUGAAAUUGGACCAUGAAAGAGAAAGAAAGGGAGAGGUGAAACAAAAUCAGAUGCCUUUGGGAUUGAACCCAGGUCCUCCAGAUCAUAGGGCAUUGACAGAUUCCAUGUGCCACUCUGUCUACCCUUUAUAGAGAAGAAAAAAAGGAAGGAGGCAGGUCAUUCUGUGUGUGUAAUUCCCAGUGUUAUACUUUGAGUAUAUUUUUUCCAUCUGUCAGUUACAUCAAUGGGUCCAGGCUGUACCUUAAUGUCUCCAUGUCCUAUGUCCCAGCACGACCCUGUCCACCCAUCCCACUACCAACUUCCCCCUGGUCCCAGUAGUUCCAAUCAAAAAUUAGGGUUAGAGUUACGGCCAGGGCCUGGGCCAGGGAUGGGGUCAGGGUUAAGGUUAGGAUAGGGGUUGGGGUUAACACUAGGGUUAUGGUCAAGAUCAGGGCCAGUCCACUGUGGUCCCUUUCUUGAUCCCAAUGGUUAGGGUUAGGGUUUGGGAUUAGGGUCAGGCUAGGACCUAGGACCUAGGACCAGGCUUGGUUAGGGUUAG